AGUGAAGAGGGAAGAGACCAAGAUUGAAAGCUGGCGUCUUCGGCGUCCGCAUUGUAAUCUCAAGAAGUGUUUUCCGCUUCGGACCAUGCCUAAGUCCCUUGGAAAAGGGCAUCAUAGAGGGUGAUAAUCCCGUACAUGGCAUGGAGCGCCCGAGGCUUUGUGAUACGCUUUCUAAGAGUCGAGUUGUUUGGGAAUGCAGCUCAAAAUGGGUGGUAAAUGCCAUCUAAGGCUAAAUAUUGGGGAGAGACCGAUAGCGAACAAGUACAGUGAUGGAAAGAUGAAAAGAACUUUGAAAAGAGAGUUAAACAGUACGUGAAAUUGCCAAAAGGGAAGGGUAGGAGGUCAGAGAUGCGUCUUGGGAUUCAGCCUUGCUUUUGCUUGGUGUUUUUCCCAAGUUGCAGGCCAACGUCGGUUUUGGGCACUGGAGAAGGGUGGAAGGAACGUGGCACCUCUCGGGGUGUGUUAUAGCCUUCUACUGGAUACAGCGACCGAGACCGAGGACAGCAGCGUACUCGCAAGAGCGGGCCUUCGGGCACCUUUACGCUUAGGGCGUUGGCAUAAUGGCCCUCUACCACCCGUCUU
rnacentral:rRNA from 1 species